AGCGUACACGGUGGAUGCCCUGGCAGUCAGAGGCGAUGAAGGACGUGCUAAUCUGCGAUAAGCGUCGGUAAGGUGAUAUGAACCGUUAUAACCGGCGAUUUCCGAAUGGGGAAACCCAGUGUGUUUCGACACACUAUCAUUAACUGAAUCCAUAGGUUAAUGAGGCGAACCGGGGGAACUGAAACAUCUAAGUACCCCGAGGAAAAGAAAUCAACCGAGAUUCCCCCAGUAGCGGCGAGCGAACGGGGAGCAGCCCAGAGCCUGAAUCAGUGUGUGUGUUAGUGGAAGCGUCUGGAAAGGCGCGCGAUACAGGGUGACAGCCCCGUACACAAAAAUGCACAUGCUGUGAGCUCGAUGAGUAGGGCGGGACACGUGGUAUCCUGUCUGAAUAUGGGGGGACCAUCCUCCAAGGCUAAAUACUCCUGACUGACCGAUAGUGAACCAGUACCGUGAGGGAAAGGCGAAAAGAACCCCGGCGAGGGGAGUGAAAAAGAACCUGAAACCGUGUACGUACAAGCAGUGGGAGCACGCUUAGGCGUGUGACUGCGUACCUUUUGUAUAAUGGGUCAGCGACUUAUAUUCUGUAGCAAGGUUAACCGAAUAGGGGAGCCGAAGGGAAACCGAGUCUUAACUGGGCGUUAAGUUGCAGGGUAUAGACCCGAAACCCGGUGAUCUAGCCAUGGGCAGGUUGAAGGUUGGGUAACACUAACUGGAGGACCGAACCGACUAAUGUUGAAAAAUUAGCGGAUGACUUGUGGCUGGGGGUGAAAGGCCAAUCAAACCGGGAGAUAGCUGGUUCUCCCCGAAAGCUAUUUAGGUAGCGCCUCGUGAAUUCAUCUCCGGGGGUAGAGCACUGUUUCGGCAAGGGGGUCAUCCCGACUUACCAACCCGAUGCAAACUGCGAAUACCGGAGAAUGUUAUCACGGGAGACACACGGCGGGUGCUAACGUCCGUCGUGAAGAGGGAAACAACCCAGACCGCCAGCUAAGGUCCCAAAGUCAUGGUUAAGUGGGAAACGAUGUGGGAAGGCCCAGACAGCCAGGAUGUUGGCUUAGAAGCAGCCAUCAUUUAAAGAAAGCGUAAUAGCUCACUGGUCGAGUCGGCCUGCGCGGAAGAUGUAACGGGGCUAAACCAUGCACCGAAGCUGCGGCAGCGACGCUGAUGCGUUGUUGGGUAGGGGAGCGUUCUGUAAGCCUGCGAAGGUGUGCUGUGAGGCAUGCUGGAGGUAUCAGAAGUGCGAAUGCUGACAUAAGUAACGAUAAAGCGGGUGAAAAGCCCGCUCGCCGGAAGACCAAGGGUUCCUGUCCAACGUUAAUCGGGGCAGGGUGAGUCGACCCCUAAGGCGAGGCCGAAAGGCGUAGUCGAUGGGAAACAGGUUAAUAUUCCUGUACUUGGUGUUACUGCGAAGGGGGGACGGAGAAGGCUAUGUUGGCCGGGCGACGGUUGUCCCGGUUUAAGCGUGUAGGCUGGUUUUCCAGGCAAAUCCGGAAAAUCAAGGCUGAGGCGUGAUGACGAGGCACUACGGUGCUGAAGCAACAAAUGCCCUGCUUCCAGGAAAAGCCUCUAAGCAUCAGGUAACAUCAAAUCGUACCCCAAACCGACACAGGUGGUCAGGUAGAGAAUACCAAGGCGCUUGAGAGAACUCGGGUGAAGGAACUAGGCAAAAUGGUGCCGUAACUUCGGGAGAAGGCACGCUGAUAUGUAGGUGAAGUCCCUUGCGGAUGGAGCUGAAAUCAGUCGAAGAUACCAGCUGGCUGCAACUGUUUAUUAAAAACACAGCACUGUGCAAACACGAAAGUGGACGUAUACGGUGUGACGCCUGCCCGGUGCCGGAAGGUUAAUUGAUGGGGUCAGCGCAAGCGAAGCUCUUGAUCGAAGCCCCGGUAAACGGCGGCCGUAACUAUAACGGUCCUAAGGUAGCGAAAUUCCUUGUCGGGUAAGUUCCGACCUGCACGAAUGGCGUAAUGAUGGCCAGGCUGUCUCCACCCGAGACUCAGUGAAAUUGAACUCGCUGUGAAGAUGCAGUGUACCCGCGGCAAGACGGAAAGACCCCGUGAACCUUUACUAUAGCUUGACACUGAACAUUGAGCCUUGAUGUGUAGGAUAGGUGGGAGGCUUUGAAGUGUGGACGCCAGUCUGCAUGGAGCCGACCUUGAAAUACCACCCUUUAAUGUUUGAUGUUCUAACGUUGACCCGUAAUCCGGGUUGCGGACAGUGUCUGGUGGGUAGUUUGACUGGGGCGGUCUCCUCCUAAAGAGUAACGGAGGAGCACGAAGGUUGGCUAAUCCUGGUCGGACAUCAGGAGGUUAGUGCAAUGGCAUAAGCCAGCUUGACUGCGAGCGUGACGGCGCGAGCAGGUGCGAAAGCAGGUCAUAGUGAUCCGGUGGUUCUGAAUGGAAGGGCCAUCGCUCAACGGAUAAAAGGUACUCCGGGGAUAACAGGCUGAUACCGCCCAAGAGUUCAUAUCGACGGCGGUGUUUGGCACCUCGAUGUCGGCUCAUCACAUCCUGGGGCUGAAGUAGGUCCCAAGGGUAUGGCUGUUCGCCAUUUAAAGUGGUACGCGAGCUGGGUUUAGAACGUCGUGAGACAGUUCGGUCCCUAUCUGCCGUGGGCGCUGGAGAACUGAGGGGGGCUGCUCCUAGUACGAGAGGACCGGAGUGGACGCAUCACUGGUGUUCGGGUUGUCAUGCCAAUGGCACUGCCCGGUAGCUAAAUGCGGAAGAGAUAAGUGCUGAAAGCAUCUAAGCACGAAACUUGCCCCGAGAUGAGUUCUCCCUGACUCCUUGA
rnacentral:rRNA from 1 species